GACGAACGCUGGCGGUGUGCUUAACACAUGCAGGUCGAACGGUAAGGCCCUUUCGGGGGUACACGAGUGGCGAACGGGUGAGUAACACGUGAGUAACCUGCCCUCAUCUCUGGGAUAACAGUCGGAAACGGUUGCUAAUACUGGAUAUGAGCUUGCAAGGCAUCUUGUGGGUUGGAAAGAUUUUUUUUGGUUGGGGAUGGACUCGCGGCCUAUCAGCUUGUUGGUGAGGUAGUGGCUCACCAAGGCUUCGACGGGUAGCCGGCCUGAGAGGGCGACCGGCCACAUUGGGACUGAGAUACGGCCCAAACUCCUACGGGAGGCAGCAGUGGGGAAUAUUGCACAAUGGACGGAAGUCUGAUGCAGCAACGCCGCGUGCGGGAUGACGGCCUUCGGGUUGUAAACCGCUUUCAAUUGUGACGAAGCUUUUUUGUGACGGUAGCAGUAGAAGAAGCACCGGCUAACUACGUG
rnacentral:rRNA from 1 species